UUAAGUCAGGCAACGAGCGAGACCCGUGCCCACUGUUACCAGCAUGUCCUCCGGGACGAUGGGUACACUGUGGGGACCGCCGGUGUUAAAUCGGAGGAAGGUGCGGGCCACGGUAGGUCAGUAUGCCCCUAAUCUCCCGGGCUACACGCGGGCUACAAUGGAUGGGACAAUGGGUCCCUCCCCUGAAAAGGGCUGGCAAUCUCACAAACCCAUCCUUAGUUCGGAUCGAGGGCUGUAACUCGCCCUCGUGAAGCUGGAAUCCGUAGUAAUCGCGUUUCAAUAUAGCGCGGUGAAUACGUCCCUGCUCCUUGCACA
rnacentral:rRNA from 1 species